rnacentral:rRNA from 1 species
AUCCAGACUCCUACUGGAGGCAGCAGUGGGGAAUAUUGGGCAAUGGGCGCAAGCCUGACCCAGCAACGCCGCGUGAAGGAAGAAGGCUUUCGGGUUGUAAACUUCUUUUAAGAGGGAAGAGUAGAAGACGGUACCUCUUGAAUAAGCCACGGCUAACUACGUGCCAGCAGCCGCGGUAAUACGUAGGGGGCAAGCGUUAUCCGGAUUUACUGGGUGUAAAGGGGGCGCAGACGGCGAUGCAAGCCAGGAGUGAAAGCCCGGGGCCCAACCCCGGGACUGCUCUUGGAACUGCGUGGCUGGAGUGCAGGAGGGGCAGGCGGAAUUCCUGGUGUAGCGGUGAAAUGCGUAGAUAUCAGGAGGAACACCGGUGGCGAAGGCGGCCUGCUGGACUGCAACUGACGUUGAGGCCCGAAAGCGUGGGGAGCAAACAGGAUUAGAUACCCUAGUAC